UCCAGUUUGUGGACAAAGUCCUAACUAUCUCACAAUAUAGGUCCCCAACAGCUGACCAAACUCCAGUCCAGGCAGCCACCUGGCCCGAGACUGGCCUGGCCUCCCUUGCUGCCUUUGGCAACUCCCAAGACCCCAGACAGGAGUUCCAGGAGAGCUGGGGUCUCACAAGGCAUCCCUGUGCCCCCAGGCAGCCAGUGGGACCCCUGGUUUCCAACCAAGAGGAUGGUUUCUGCCUGGAGCUGGGAUCUGGCGCCUCCUGAUAUCCAUGGCAGAAUAAGUGUGAUAAACCAUCUACACCUGGCAGGUAACUGCCCAGCACGUAGUUACGUUAUUUACUGGAUUCAAAGUUCUUUUCCCUGGAAAAGAAGCCUACUGAUUCCGACAGCCCCAGAGGAGGAGCCAGGACCAGCAGAGAGGUGCUAUAGGGAGGAAAACCUGGGCUCAGAAUGAAGAAAAGAACUUUCUGUUGCGUACAGUUGUUCUGCUACCUAGGAGUCCACAUCUUGUCACUGCAGGAACCAAGCAAAGCUUAGUGUCACCUGUCAGUGAGUGUAAGGAGAAAAUCCAGCAAGUCAUGGAACAAAAGUCCUAAAUAAAAUGCUAUCAAAACCAAA